rnacentral:rRNA from 1 species
AAAAAGCUCGUAGUUGGAUCUCGGCGGACUGAGGGCGGUUUGCUUGCUAGUAUUACUGCCCUAUAGUCCGUAGUUUUGCCAGAGGUUUCGGGGUGCUCUUAAUCGAGUGUCCCGGGAUGCUGGCAGGUUUACUUUGAAAAAAUUAGAGUGCUCAAAGCAGGCUAUUACGCCUGAAUAUGCGUGCAUGGAAUAAUAGAAUAGGAAGUCGUUUCUAUUUUGUUGGUUUUCGGAAAUCGACUUAAUGAUUAAUAGGGACAGUCGGGGGCAUUUGUAUUCAAACGACAGAGGUGAAAUUCUUGGACCGUUUGAAGACAAACUACUGCGAAAGCAUUUGCCAAGAAUGUUUUCAUUAAUCAAGAACGAAAGUUAAAGGUUCGAAGGCGAUUAGAUACCGCCCUAGUUUUAACCAUAAACGAUGCCAGCUAGCGAUCUGCGGACGUUUUUUUUGUAGACUCCGCAGGAAGCUUCCGGGAAACCAAAGCAUUUGGGUUCCAGGGGAAGUAUGGUUGCAAAGCUGAAACUUAAAGGAAUUGACGGAAGGGCACCACCAGGAGUGGAGCCUGUGGCUUAAUUUGACUCAACACGGGGAAAUCUCGCCAGGCCCGGACACUG